AUUGAACGCUGGCGGCAUGCUUUACACAUGCAAGUCGAACGGUAACAGGCCGCAAGGUGCUGACGAGUGGCGAACGGGUGAGUAAUGCAUCGGAACGUGCCCAGUCGUGGGGGAUAACGCAGCGAAAGCUGCGCUAAUACCGCAUACGAUCUAUGGAUGAAAGCGGGGGACCGUAAGGCCUCGCGCGAUUGGAGCGGCCGAUGUCAGAUUAGGUAGUUGGUGGGGUAAAGGCUCACCAAGCCAACGAUCUGUAGCUGGUCUGAGAGGACGACCAGCCACACUGGGGCUGAGACACGGCCCAGACUCCUACGGGAGGCAGCAGUGGGGAAUUUUGGACAAUGGGCGCAAGCCUGAUCCAGCAAUGCCGCGUGCAGGAAGAAGGCCUUCGGGUUGUAAACUGCUUUUGUACGGAGCGAAAAGGCUCUCUCUAAUACAGGGGGCUCAUGACGGUACCGUAAGAAUAAGCACCGGCUAACUACGUGCCAGCAGCCGCGGUAAUAC
rnacentral:rRNA from 1 species